UACGUAGGGUGCGAGCGUUGUCCGGAAUUAUUGGGCGUAAAGGGCUCGUAGGCGGUCUGUCACGUCGGGAGUGAAAACUCAGGGCUUAACCCUGAGCCUGCUUCCGAUACGGGCAGACUAGAGGUAUGCAGGGGAGAACGGAAUUCCUGGUGUAGCGGUGAAAUGCGCAGAUAUCAGGAGGAACACCGGUGGCGAAGGCGGGUCUCUGGGCCGAUACUGACGCUGAGGAGCGAAAGCGUGGGGGAGCAAACAGG
rnacentral:rRNA from 1 species